rnacentral:rRNA from 1 species
UGCGUAGGCGGGAGAUUAAGUCAGUGGUGAAAUCCUGCAGCUUAACUGUAGAACUGCCAUUGAUACUGGUUUCCUUGAGUAUAGUUGAAGUGGGCGGAAUGUGUAUUGUAGCGGUGAAAUGCUUAGAUAUUACACAGAACACCUAUUGCGAAGGCAGCUCACUAAACUAAUACUGACGCUGAGGUACGAAAGCGUGGGGAGCGAACAGGAUUAGAUACCCUGGUAGUCC